rnacentral:rRNA from 1 species
CACGUAGGCACCAAGCGUUGUCCGGAUUUAUUGGGCGUAAAGAGCUCGUAGGCGGUUCAGUAAGUCAGGUGUGAAAUCUUUGGGCUUAACCCAAAGCGUGCACUUGAUACUGCUGUGACUUGAGUUCGGUAGGGGAGUGGGGAAUUCCUAGUGUAGCGGUGAAAUGCGCAGAUAAUUAGGAGGAACACCGGUGGCGAAGGCGCCACUCUGGGCCGAAACUGACGCUAAGGAGCGAAAGCGUGGGUAGCAAACAGG